UGGUAGAGCGCAACCUUGCCAAGGUUGAGGUCACGAGUUCGAACCUCGUGUGUCGCUCCA
rnacentral:tRNA from 1 species